rnacentral:rRNA from 1 species
GACGAACGCUGGCGGCGUGCUUAACACAUGCAAGUCGAACGGAAAGGCCCUGCUUGCAGGGUACUCGAGUGGCGAACGGGUGAGUAACACGUGGGUGAUCUGCCCUGCACUUCGGGAUAAGCCUGGGAAACUGGGUCUAAUACCGGAUAGGAGCCAUUUUUAGUGUGAUGGUUGGAAAGUUUUUUCGGUGUAGGAUGAGCUCGCGGCCUAUCAGCUUGUUGGUGGGGUAAUGGCCUACCAAGGCGGCGACGGGUAGCCGGCCUGGGAGGGUGGACGGCCACAUUGGGACUGAGAUACGGCCCAGACUCCUACGGGAGGCAGCAGUGGGGAAUGUUGCUCAAUGGGCGCAAGCCUGAUGCAGCGACGCCGCGUGGGGGAUGACGGCCUUCGGGUUGUAAACUCCUUUCGCUAGGGACGAAGCUUUUUGUGACGGUACCUAGAUAAGAAGCACCGGCUAACUACGUG